rnacentral:rRNA from 1 species
AUUGAACGCUGGCGGCAUGCCUUACACAUGCAAGUCGAACGGCAGCGGACCUUCGGGUGCCGGCGAGUGGCGAACGGGUGAGUAAUAUAUCGGAACGUACCUUUCAGUGGGGGAUAACGUAGCGAAAGUUACGCUAAUACCGCAUAUUCUGUGAGCAGGAAAGCAGGGGAUCGCAAGACCUUGCGCUGAUUGAGCGGCCGAUAUCAGAUUAGCUAGUUGGUGAGGUAAAGGCUCACCAAGGCGACGAUCUGUAGCGGGUCUGAGAGGAUGAUCUGCCACACUGGAACUGAGACACGGUCCAGACUCCUACGGGAGGCGAGCAGUGGGGAAUUUUGGGACAAUGGGCGCAAGCCUGAUCCAGCCAUGCCGCGUGAGUGAAGAAGGCCUCGGUUGUAAG